rnacentral:lncRNA from 1 species
GGAUCAAUAAGCCCUUCCAUCCCAUGUGUCCGAAUGGAGAGCAUUCGGUCUUCUCAUUUAAUCGACGCCCGCGCAUUUCGAACUCGGACCACGUGGGUGGAAGUAAAGGCCCAGUUCCACUGAACUACCACCUCAGAGGUAUUUUUUUUUCCUAUUGUUUUAUUUGCAAAGACUCCUGCCUUGGUUUGCGCCGUUUAGAAUGAGAAGGUGUCGACGAUGGGGCGACGGUGUACCCCCGAAAGCUAGACGAUUUUAGCCUUAGCCAAAUGUUUGCAUGGGAUAGAUAUGAGAACGAAUCACCGCCCCUAACAAAAUCCCAACAACACCGUACCUUGGCAUUAGCUCGAAUCAAUCUCGGUCAAAAUCUGGGUGUCUGUUCCGUAGGACACCCUCUUCUCAAAUUGUUUUUUUUUUUUUUUGUAAAUCCCUCAUGCUCGCUUUACUCAAGAUUGAUAUAAUUCACCCAGCUCAUGAAAAAAUAUGCGUACUGUCAUGAUGCCCGCAAUAUGAAAGUGGAGCUUUUACGAUCCUUGGGCAUCUGGGAGACAGCAGAGGUCCCCUUUUUCAUCGUCGAGCUUUUGAAAUUGCCAUAACCGACCUUCAACAUUAACGCUGAUGCUACUAUUACGAGCGCGCAGGAGUUUAUAAUGCGGGGUACUUGGGACUAUCAUGCAAUGGUACAGCAAAGUGGCAGCGGAUCUAGUUACUAGGAUGCCGUUGCCGAGGUCCGGUGAACGGAAUUCUUGCGUCUGAAUGCCGCAUCCGCAGGUACAGACGAUGCUAUCUCAGUCUACAGAUUCUACAGAUUAUGGCAUUUACCCUAUUUCUGGAGUUAUGAAUAUUUGGUAAAAAUUUUAAAAAACUGUUUUAGCUUUUUCAGAAAUCUAAAAAUAGCUUUUUAUAAGAAGCUUCAUUUUGAAGCUUUUCGAAAAAACUAUUUUGAAAAGUUAUUUUUUAACCAAAAUAUCUAUAAUAAAAUAUAACAAUUACAUAUUUUAUCACUUUAUAAAUCUAAAAAUCUGUUGAAGUCCUAAUAAUUAUAAUAUUUUAUACCUUUAUUAUUGUAUUAUACUAUAAAUAUAAUAUUAUAUUACAUUCUACGAUAAUACAUUGAUAUGUUAUGUUAAAUAGUUUAAUUAUUAAAUUAUUAUGCUACGGUAUACAAUAUUAUAUUACUAUAUUAUAAUAAUAUUAUAUUACAUUACCAUAAUAUUAUACUAUAUUAUAUAUUUACGUAUUAAUAUAUGUUAUAUUUUAUUAUGCUCUGUUGUAUAAUACUAUGCAAUGUUUUUUAUAGUAAUUUUGUCAUACAAAAGUACUUCAGCAGUUUGUUUAUGUGUUAAAGUGCCACAAUACUUUAAAAAUAUAGUUACCAAAUAGCAAAUAGCUUUUUAUAAAAGCUCUACUUCAGAAAGUUCUACUUCUAAUAGCUCUACUUUCAAAAACUCUACUGCCAACAACUCUUCCAAACAAAACCUAAAUAUUUAUCUGAAAAGACUUGUGGCGACGAUUGUUUGCUCACGCUCACUUGCAUACAUCACCGGAUGCUACUUGCUCUGCUUGUGGUUUACAUGUUGAAGCCAUUAGACACCAUUUUUUGGGCGCGGUCAUGCUAGAUUUGUGUGGGUAGAAAAACGUAUCAUUUCCUUUUCGAGUUGAUGGAGGGGGGCUUGGCUCACAGCAAUACAAUUGAAUCGGCUUCCAUGUAUGGCAUUUUAUGCUGCAAUAAUGCGGUAUAUAUGGAAAAAUCGGAAGGUCUUCCGAUUUUUAGUAAUCAACUCGUUAACACAUCGUUCAUCGUGCAUUGGUCAUCAUUGCUUAUGCUACCGAUCUGAGUCAAGAGCAUGCGAGCCUCUCAAGUGCUGUUAGCCGACACCAUGACCUCCCUGACCGAAGACUGGCCUUAUGUAAAGCUCCACCACGUAGUUUAAUGCCUGCACACGAACUGUACCUGAAGAGAGUCCUUUUUCUUAGCACAAACUUGGUCUUGUGAAAGGUUCUACCUGUAUGUACCAAAAAAGGGUUCUACUUAUUAUUAACGAUCUUGGUGUUUCUAGACUUGAUCAAAAGUACUUCUCUCAAACGGGCUAAGGUCUGAUCAAAAGCAAUUCUCUCAAACAGAAGAAGCGCUAAUCAAAAGCGAUUCUCUCAAACAGGCUAAGCGCAAAUCAAAAGCGAUUCUCUCAAACAGGCUAAGCGCAAAUCAAAAGUGAUUCUCUCAAACGGGCUAAGCGCAUUCCUUGAGUUCUCAAGCCUCAAACCUCUUGUUUGGCGUUUAUAUAGUUGGGCUUACACUACGUUUGAGUGAAUCUCCACUAUCUAUGACUCAAAGCUUUGAAUAUGAUCUACCAUCUAUAAACAACUUAUCUAUUAAAAAUCAUUUAUACAACAAAUAAUCAAAAAAUUAAAUAAUUUAAUUAAUAUAAAAUUAUAUAUAUAUAUAUAGGGAAUUGAUAACCUACUCUAACAUAGAGUAGGUUAUCAAUCCCCAUAUAUAUAUACAUAUAUAUAUAUAUAUAUAUACAUAUAUACAUAUACAUAUAUACAUAUAUACAUAUACAUAUAUACAUAUACAUAUAUACAUAUAUAUAUAUAUAUAUAGACACUACUUAAGGUAUAAAUUACGGAUUUCAAAAUCAUAUAAUUUUGAUAAUGUAAGCACACACGUAACAACUUGAGUUGUCACGAGGUAGAACACCACCAUCCAAUCUCGACUUGCUCAUACCCGAAGAUCUACUCGAAUAUAACCAAGUCUAAUUCUCUCCAUAUGCAUAUUAAUUAAAAAACCUAAUAGACCCAUAGACCAACCGUAGUCAAAAGGGGAGAUACAUCUGACAUGGACUCACAACCGGAUAAAUAUUUAACAGCAACAUCAACACAAAAAUCAUAAUUUGCUGUUGAAAGUAAACAACUAGUAUAACCGAGCAGACUGAAACCACAACAUUCCCAAUGCAGCAUGAGAAAACAACAGUUGAAAUUUAAUCAGGUAUAAUCUUUCUACCGUUUGGCACCGGCCACAGUUUACUAAGAGAACCAUCAGAAGCACUGGCACAAGUUGAGGCAUUCCUGAAGCAUAUCUCGGUAUACCUCGAACCCCAAUUCAGAUGAGAUUUUGGUCCCAAACAAAACAAACUGAAUCCAUCAGAACGUAAAUCCAAUUCUUCCCGUAAACCACUUUCCAAAAACUGGAUUUCGGGUCAUGAGUACAAAAUAGGAAGUAAAUAUUAAAACCCAAAUAUCACCUAUGCAGGAACCCGACACUCACCUUUUGCAGAGCAAGACCCUAAAUGAAAGUGACAGCACCGAGACGAGCAUAGCUUCUAUGUAAACAACAGGACUAUAAUGUUUUCAUGCUGCAGGAUCUGUGACACCCUCUGAUUUAUCGGUAUCCAUUGGCUCAGCAGCACUCGGCGGCGCAUGACCACUUUCAUCAGCCACCUGCUCCCUGGAGGCACCAUCUCCUUGAGGCUGCUGCUCGUUGGCUUGAGGUUGUGCUGCCGUCUCAGCUGGUGGUGGGGUCUGCGGCUUGGGUGGAGGAGGCCUUGGUUUCGUCAUUAUCGGUCUGCAAAACCUGUGCAAGCAAAUUCUUUAUACACUUAGCGAACAAUAUAUGACGAACAUGAGAUGCUACACUAGUGUGGUACAAACUUCUCUCUCAUUUCAAAACACUAGAGAUCACGAGUGCCAAAGCUUAAAUGCACAAUUCAGCAAAGUCAAAAGGAGGAUUCGGAUGACUAUUUUUAGAUCAAGUUGCCAAAGAAUCGGUUCCAUCAUAAGAGUUACAGGGGAACACUGUUUUGUUAUUAAUUUUAAUUUCAAACACAUGGAUGCACAAUCGAAAAUCAGCCUGACAAACUAUAUUAUGGGUCUGUUUGUUAUCGUUGUUGUCUGUCUUCUUGUUCCUGUUUGGUAUCAUUGGUGCUGAAGAUGGCAUUUGCACAAAACUAUGCUAUUCCCGGUUUUAUUUUCACUCCCUUUCGACAGCAACAGAUAUUUGCCACCAAAAAAUAUAAUGACUUUAUAAACAAUAUAAAAACAAAAGACAUAUUCAGUUGUACAAUCAUUUUGCUUCUUGGGUUUUUGAAAACUGAAAGAGAAAGCAAAAGCAAUACCAAAUGAGCCCUAAAUUAUUACCUGUCCAGUGUUUCAGCCUUCCUCUUCACAUCUGCCGAAAGAAGAACGGGAGUGGCAUGUUUGGGCAAGGCAUCUUGCUGCUGCUUUUUCUCUCUUAACCAGGUUUCUGCUCCGGCACAUUCAUUAACAACCUAUGAUAAAUGAUUAACAAAUAAGCACAUGACUGCAAAAUUUCUACAAAAUUUUUACAUAAACAAAUCUUAGCAACUGUAAUUCUUUCAAAUUCAACUUAAGAACUGCAGGAGAUAUAUUAAAAUAUGCAGUAUAUGCUAGAUAUUUAUGCAGCGAGUAUAGUGAACGAUUGGAUGCUAAGCUUGUGUUACAGCAUAAACAAUUCUGAAGAUAAUGUAAACUCUUGGUGGCUGAAAAUUAGACAAAACCAAAAUCCCAGUUGAGUGUGCCUACUGACGAAAACAUGAAAGCAGGGACAAACACUGGAUGUCCACAUACAGAUGGUUCUAACAGAAGCACAGCAAAAAAUUCUGAGAUUGAAAGCAAAACAAUUUUUAGACAUAUUCCAAUUGAAUGUUGAUGCCAACGGACCACAAGGGCUUAAAAAAAGGCAUAGUUGAUGUUUCACCGACAAUUAAGUCAUAAACAUAACAAUUACCAAAAAAGUGCAACAGGUUUCUCUAAAACAUCAUACCUUGUGCUUGUCUGCUAUAUCAAUGUGAUCAAACUUAGGAUCUUUUGACGAGGCGGCCUCUCUAAAACUACUAAUACAGUAAAUGAGUUGAUCAAUGGUUGGACCUCUCUCUGUCCACUCCUUGUAGCGUUCUUCAAUAGGGGCACCUUGCUGCACUCAGACAGCCCUUAUCAGAUGAACUAAACACCUCAUCAGCUUGACACAAAUGAAAACAAGAAAGUCGAAUGAUUUACCUUUCUAAGUUCUUCAAGCUUAGCAACAUAAACACCCUUUGUCUCAUCCUCACCAUCUUCAUACAACCAAUCCUCGACAUCCUGAAGCUUUGCAAUGAGCUCAUCCUUCUCGCUUGCUGUUACGAAAUCCUGAUACUUAUCAUGAAGCUGAAAACAAAAAAGAGACAAUAUUGAUGUCAGACCAUAUAGAUUAAUAUAAAAAUAUAGUACAAAAUGGGUCAUGAAUGGAUGACAAAACCUUGUUUCGCAUGUCAUAAACGUAUGCUUCCACAGCAUUCUUUUUGUCUUUGGUUUCUUCCAUUACCCUAUCUUGAAGAGCCAUUUCAAACUCCCUCUCAACUGCCUUUUGCAAAUCUUCAGCUGACAUUCCGCCAUACACCAGUUCAGAAACUGGAAUAUUUGUUUUCUUCACCUUCUUUUUUGGAACCUCAACCUGAAGGACCAACAUUAUAUCAACAAUUGAUGAUCUUUCAGAUGUGCUUUUGCACCAGACAUGGAAAAAAGGGAUGUAAUUUAGAACUAGAAGAGCUUUAUGUAAAAUAUAUAGAUAUAGCACCCCAUGAAAGGUUUAUUACUGUUCCUGUCAGAUAUUGCAAAAUAUUUUAUUAGGGCAAUCAAAUUAUAACAUCUGCUUUACAAUCACAGGAAGAGAAAAUAUAUAUUUGUAAAGGAAGAGGAGACUUGACUUCUGUCAGAGGUCAGCAGAAACAUUUCACAGAUAUAAUCUUCACAUUUGUUAAGAACUAAGACAAUCAACUCUCUGAAAUCAAGGCAUAAAAAACACAUACGAGAGCAUAUUCUAAGAUAUGAACAAGUCAGAAUAUCCACUUUCCUAUUUUUUCCCUGCAGGAAAAUGAAGUUCCUAGUACUUACAGAGCACGAGCAGAAAAUUUUCAUGAAAUAUAUCAAUUGCUAGCUUAUUUCAAUUCAAUUACACAGCUUUUGAUUUGUGCGGAAAACAUUGAAACAUCUGCCAUAUAUAAAUAUAAUGCAUCUUUCAGAAUCCAUAAAUACGAGCUUUGAGAUACAAUUUAAUCAUUGUGAGCUGUGGGUAAAGAAACAAACUCAGGAUAAUUUAACUGUUUAACUAAUAUAGUCAAACUAAUGAAUAAGUUAUAUUAAUCAAAGUCGUACCAUUAAUAAAUAAGAAACUUGUAAUGAGUACAAUUCUAUCUUCAAAACUACUGGAGAAGAUAACAAACUCCAACUAGUUACAUAAUUUAUAAUAUAAAUAUGUCCAUCCAACGAUCAAACAAAGAAAAAAUCAUUGCCCUAAUAAAUGGGGUCAGAAGCAUAAAAUAACUUCGUGCAAAAUCCCAGUGAUAUACAAGCAUAUUGAAAAAACUAGUAGCUGAUGAUUUGCAAACCUUGGCAUCAGUUUCCAUCUGCACAGGCUUUUCUUCAGCCUCUGGCGCACCAUUUUCGACCCCAGCACCAGAGUUAUCUGCUGCCACAGUUUUAACAUCCUGCAUAUUUUCAUGAUUCUCAGUUCUAGAUGAGUCACUUGUUUCAUCUGUGUCCAUCUUGGUAGCCUCCUUUG